rnacentral:sRNA from 1 species
ACGUAAACCCGAUAGACGUGGAAAUACUUUUUUUAUUGCAGAUGCCUUUGUGCCUCAGCAUCACAACUUGCGUAAAAAAAGAUUGGAACAGAUAGCGGGGCUGCUU